UUGGAUUGGAAGAUAAACUCAAUUUUUAUGAAGAUGACAUCCAAGGAACCAGACGAUUUCCAAAAGAAAUGAGCUCGAUUUUGAACACUCAGGAAUGACAAAUAGAGUCUACAAAAUAACUAAUUAAGGAUCCUUUCAUAGUCUUCCCUCUCAAGGAUAUCCACAUCAGAAGCCUGGAUUUGAAGAACAUCAUCUUGCGAGGAGGGGGCUGUAUGAAAUAAAGGGGAGAUACUUCUGUGGUUUCGAGGGUUA
rnacentral:lncRNA from 1 species